UGGGGAAUUUUGGACAAUGGACGCAAGUCUGAUCCAGCCAUGCCGCGUGCGGGAAGAAGGCCUUCGGGUUGUAAACCGCUUUUGUCAGGGAAGAAACGAGUUUCUCUAAUACAGAGACUUAAUGACGGUACCUGAAGAAUAAGCACCGGCUAACUACGUGCCAGCAGCCGCGGUAAUACGUAGGGUGCAAGCGUUAAUCGGAAUUACUGGGCGUAAAGCGUGCGCAGGCGGUUAUGUAAGACAGAUGUGAAACCCCCGGGCUCAACCUGGGACCUGCAUUUGUGACUGCAUAGCUAGAGUACGGCAGAGGGGGAUGGAAUUCCACGUGUAGCAGUGAAAUGCGUAGAUAUGCGGAGGAACACCGAUGGCGAAGGCAAUCCCCUGGGCCUGUACUGACGCUCAUGCACGAAAGCGUGGGGAGCAAACA
rnacentral:rRNA from 1 species